CCUACGGGAGGCAGCAGUGGGGAAUAUUGGGCAAUGGACGCAAGUCUGACCCAGCAACGCCGCGUGAAGGAAGAAGGCUUUCGGGUUGUAAACUUCUUUUAAUGGGGAAGAGCAGCAGAUCGUACCCCUUUACUCGGCUACAGCUAACUACUUGCCAGCAGCCGCGGUAAUACGUAGGUGGCAAGCGUUGUCCGGCUUUACUGGGUGUAAAGGGCGUGCAGCCGGGGAGACAAGUCAGAUGUGAAAUCCACGGGCUCAACCCGUGAACUGCAUUUGAAACUGUUUCCCUUGAGUGUAGUAGAGGUAAUCGGAAUUCCUUGUGUAGCGGUGAAAUGCGUAGAUAUAAGGAAGAACACCAGUGGCGAAGGCGGAUUACUGGACGGUAACUGACGGUGAGGCGCGAAAGCGUGGGGAGCAAACAGGAUUAGAUACCCCAGUAGUC
rnacentral:rRNA from 1 species